AUAUUUAUUUAUUUUUAAAACUUCUCUUUCUCUCUCUAAAACGCUCCCUCUCGUUCUCUCUCUAACGUUUCACUCUCUCUCAUUUAUCCAUUCUCUGGUUCGCCGACAACCGCCAAAUCUCUGCAAUUUCAACUAUCUCCUCUCUCCUACCAUCCAUUUCUCCCUCAGGUACUUUUGUACGCGGGCAGCAACCCCUUCAGUGCUCUGUACAUGUGAUUCAUCAUUUUCCUGUUAAAGAAAUGCAUUAAAAAUUUGGCUUUAUUUGCAGACCUUAUAAGGAUUGAGGACAUUUGGCUUGUGCUUGACAUAUUGUUCUUCGUAAUUUCAUAUGUUCUAAGCUGGAAAUUAUCCCUGGGGAGUCCAAUGGUUGCUUAUGUUUGUUAAUUUUCCUGCUUUACCAGUUCAAUGAUGCACCUUCAGGAAAUUUCUUUGAAGUAUUGCUGAAUAUCCAUGUGCAUGGGCUUUGAAGCUCGACCGUUUAUGGUAACAUCAUGGAAAAUUAAUAAUAGGCUUGAGAAUCUCCACUCCUUAAGAAAAGUAAAGCUGUCAUUCUAUCUUCUGCAUUCGAGCUUUUGAGUAUUAGAGAAGACUAUAUUGCAAUUUUACUGCAAAGGAGCUUUGUAUAAAAUAACUUGGUGGUUCAACAUUAUUGUCAAAUGUCAGAAGUUGAUAUGACAGUGAUCAAACCAGAGAUGAUGAAGUCCUAUAUCUGGCUUCAGACUGCCGAUGGUUCAAUACAACAAGUAGAACAAGAGGUUGCAAUGUUUUGCCCUAUGAUAUGCCAUGAACUAAUACAAAAGGGAAUGGGAUCAUCCAAGAACUGUGCUAUAUCACUUCCACAGCGGGUCAAUCCUGCCAUGUUAAGUCUGAUUCUUGAUUAUUGCAGAUUUCACCAAGUACCAGGACGUUCUAACAAGGAAAGGAAGACUUUUGAUGAAAAAUUCAUUCGAAUGGACACAAAAAGGCUUUGUGAGUUGACUUCUGCUGCUGACAGCCUUCAGUUGAAACCUCUGGUUGAUCUUACAAGCCGUGCUCUUGCACGAAUUAUUGAAGGCAAAACCCCUGAGGAGAUACGUGAAAUUUUUCAUUUGCCUGAUGAUCUCACUGAGGAAGAGAAAUUGGAGCCUUUGAAAAACACAAUGGAUGAUCCAAGAAUUCGACUUUUAAAUAGGUUGUAUGCAAAGAAGAGGAAAGAAUUAAAGGAGCGAGAGAAAUUAAAGAAUGUUGAGGUUGAAGAAGAGCGAGUGGAUGAGCGUUCUGUGGAUGACCUCUUAUCAUUUAUUAAUGGGGAAGAUUCUAAGGGGAUUAAAACUUCAAAAAAUAAAAAGAAGAAUCGGAGAAGGAGAGAUCAACAGAAGAAUGGUUCUCCAAAUGAAGCAAAUGAAACACAUAAGAAGGAGGAAAACUGUAUCACUUCUUCAUGUCAUACUGCUGAGGAUGGUAAUAAAAUUCGGUCCAGUUUGGGUGAGGAGUCAAAUUUACCUGAUAUGGAAGAUGACAUUUUUGCACAUGGUGAUAUUGAUGAUGAGAUAGAUCCAGCUCUGAAAGAAGAGAUUGAUAGAGAGGUGGAAGAUUUUGCGCGGAGAUUGAAUUCCGACUGGAUCUCAUCUUUGGGUCAAGAAAGGAGGCCGGUACAUUUUUCAAUCAAUGGCAAUGGUACUGCUAGAAGACAUGCAAAUCCAGAGCACUGAUAAAUUAUACAAUGAGGAUGCUUCUUUUCUUGGCCAGUGGCUGCAACAAUUUUGAUCAGACCUUGCUCAAAAUGCAAGAGUGUUGGAUGUCUAGAAGAUCUGGGAUUCUCACUUAUGUGUAUCCUAAUCAUUUCAGGUGGUGGAACAUCUACUCUUACCAAAAGCUGCUUUUUUGGAGGAACUAGGCUAGAAUACUGUAUAAACUAAAGAUGCCGUUCUUUUUUAUGUUGUAUUAUUAAACGUCCUUUUUGUUCGUGUAUUUUUUUAUUCACAAAGUGGUGGCAAAUAUACAUACGACAUUGUGUUUGCAUCCAUGCAGUGUGCUCUGAAUUGGUAUUCCCAAUAAAUGCAGCACAUAUUACGCGUCAGUAUGUGGUCCUACAUACCAAGUCCAGUGCUCUUUGCCCCAACCACUUUAGCUCUGGAAAUGUUGGUUUUCCCUUGCACAAUUUAUGAUGGUUGUUUUGUAAUAAAUGCUAAUUUUAGCAUAUGAAGGUCCUGUUCGGUUUGCUACUUUGUGGCCUGGAAGGUGCAGAGGGUACCAACUCACAUUUGAUGUUAUACAAGCAUAUGUUUAGUUGUUUGUGGUUAAAGGCUUCUAAA